rnacentral:rRNA from 1 species
GACAGAGGGGGCAAGCGUUGCUCGGAAUCACUGGGCGUAAAGGGCGCGUAGGCGGGUUGACAAGUCGGUCGUGAAAUCCCUGGGCUCAACUCAGGGGGGUCGGCCGAUACUGCCAUUCUUGAGGGAUGCAGAGGAGACUGGAAUUCCCGGUGUAGCGGUGAAAUGUGUAGAGAUCGGGAGGAACACCGGUGGCGAAGGCGGGUCUCUGGGCAUUCCCUGACGCUGAGGAGCGAAAGCGUGGGGAGCGAACAGG